rnacentral:lncRNA from 1 species
AUGACAGAAAAAAAAUUUGCAAAUUUGAAGAUUGGAAAUCAAGUGGCUGAGAGCCUGCCAGAGGUCUGCAUGGUGAGGGCAGUGGAGCCAGGCACACCUCACACCCUGAUGGAGCCCCCGGAGAAGGCCUUCUUGGGUAGCUGCCCCAUCUGGGGCGCCUCCUCCCCAGACCCCUCCAGGGCCUGCAUUUCCUCCCCACAGGAGGGAUGGUGGGAAGGUGAGUUCUGCUAUCAGCAGCACAGUGAGCUUUGGCCACUAUGGCUCCAUAUCAUGGGAAUGUGCAAGCACCUCUGUCAGCCUCAGUUUGGAAAUCUGAACAAUGGGCUGCUGAGAAAACUAAGCUCACUUCAUGACUGUAGGAUGAAAUGGGGUCUAUCAUAAGUGUGGACCCUGGCCUUGGCCUCGUGGAAGACCUGCUGUAGCAGCCAUGCUAAUUCUCACAGAUGAUCUUCCAUCCCCCUGGGAAGCUUUGCCUUCCCUUCACUGACCUCUGAACUUGAGGCAAGUUGUGUUCCCUGUAAUGGAGAUUCCAGAGUCACUCAAUGGGCUUCAGGGUGGUCUCAGAGCAGGAAUCCUUGGUAGAUGCACAGGUCCCAGGCCACUCAGACAUCAUGGAAGAGCAGGUGGAUACAUAGGUCCACCAGUAUACACGGAGACACACUGCAUACAGACACUUUUCCAGGCAAUGAGUAUGGUUCACUAACCAGAGCAGAUGCCAUCCCUGCCUUCUGGAUUUCAAUGCAAUUGAGGUCCACACAGUCACCAUGGACAGCAGAGCAGGCAUUAUUUCCAUUGCAGUAGAUGAGACCCUUCAUGGCCUCCCUAGGUGUGGAUUCAAAGCACUGCAAAAAGAGCCCAGAGGGGCACAGAGAACUGGACAACACGUCACUACAUGAGCUGAAGCCUGAGUUGAGGCAGGGCAGGACAGAUGCCUACUGUCCCCUCACUUCUCAGAUACUGAGUUAUAGAGCAGCAGCCCCAUGCCCUUGAAUGCAACCAGAGAGCAGAUGCCAGUCUCUGUCCUCAUGGAGCUGACAGUGAGGACAGGAAGAGAGACAGUGUGUCAGGCUGCCCUGAGGAAGGCAGAGGUGGUCACACCACUGAACAAUGACUUCUUCCCCCGGAGCCAUCUGUCAGGCGCUCAGAGCUGCCUGGGCCGGGACUGUUCCAUUGGGCAUGGGAGAUGGUGGGGUUGGACCAUGCACAGACCGGGCAGGAAGCUCAUGUGUCCAUUCUUGCAGGUGCCUCCAACAGGUAGUGUGGGGGGAAAGAGCAGGCCUCUCACUUUGCUGCUCAUUCUGUCUUUUCCAGGUCCACAUCCUCUGCCCGUGACUCCUUACUAGAGCUGAGCUCCCAGGGGGAUUCACCAACUGAAGUUCUCCUGGGCCAGCAAGAGCACACUGAGCCCAUUGAGGCCGAGCCCAAGGGUGAGCAGGACUGGGAUAUGAGCCUGUGGAUAUGUGGGUAGGGGAUGGGCCUUUGGACACAGAGAGCUUCCAGGUUCUGGGUGACCGGGAAUACUGAGACCCUCAGCAGUUAGUGGGUGCAUGCAGGCUGAGAAGACUUCCUGGGGGCGGCUGUGUGCACAGAGCUCUCUGACGGGCAGCGGGAAGGUUUGGUCCCAGGAAGGAACAUGGACAAUUUGUGAUGAUUUUUUUCUCUUGCAGCUGCAGGGCCAGCUCCAGCCCAAGCUGAAGUCCCACCUGUAGAGCUCGUGCCAGCUCCACCUGCAGCUCCCUCCUCAGCCUGGGACCACAGCCAGAGCCAGCGCCAGGAACCCCUUCUCCACCAGCUGCACAGCUGUGGAUCCUGGUGGUUGCUCCAGGAACCCCUUCUCCACCAGCUGCACAGCUGUGGAUCCUGGUGGUUGCUCCAGGAACCCCUUCUCCACCAGCUGCACAGCUGUGGAUCCUGGUGGUUGCUCCAGGAACCCCUUCUCCACCAGCUGCACAGCUGUGGAUCCUGGUGGUUGCUCCAGGAACCCCUUCUCCACCAGCUGCACAGCUAUGGAUCCUGGUGGUUGCACGGCGGGCAUCAGCUCCUGAGCUGCAGCUGGGGCAUGCUCCUGCCCCACCCCUGCCAUUCCCCUCCAUUACUCUUGUUUAUGUUUUGGCAUGUAUUUUUGCUCCUAUUUUAUCGACUUAUGUAAAUAAUAGAAUUAUUUUUUAAAUAAAAGUUAAGAUUUUAGUCUUGUUUAAAAUGACCAGUGUGGU